UACGGGGGGGGCAAGCGUUGUUCGGAAUUACUGGGCGUAAAGGGCUCGUAGGCGGCCAACUAAGUCGGACGUGAAAUCCCUCGGCUUAACCGGGGAACUGCGUCCGAUACUGGAUGGCUUGAGUUCGGGAGAGGGAUGCGGAAUUCCAGGUGUAGCGGUGAAAUGCGUAGAUAUCUGGAGGAACACCGGUGGCGAAGGCGGAUCUCUGGGCCGAUACUGACGCUGAGGAGCGAAAGCGUGGGGAGCAAACAGG
rnacentral:rRNA from 1 species